rnacentral:rRNA from 1 species
UACGAAGGGGGCAAGCGUUACUCGGAAUUACUGGGCGUAAAGCGUGCGUAGGUGGUUUGUUAAGUCUGUUGUGAAAGCCCCGGGCUCAACCUGGGAAUGGCAAUGGAUACUGGCAAGCUAGAGUGCGGUAGAGGGUAGUGGAAUUCCCGGUGUAGCGGUGAAAUGCGUAGAGAUCGGGAGGAACACCAGUGGCGAAGGCGGCUACCUGGACCAGGACUGACGCUGAGGCACGAAAGCGUGGGGAGCAAACAGG